rnacentral:rRNA from 1 species
CCAAUAGCGUAUAUUAAAGUUGUUGCAGUUAAAAAGCUCGUAGUUGAAUUUCGGGAUCAAGUCGUCGGUCGUGCUUAGGUACGUACUGGCGUCAUUGAUUUCUCCCUUCUGACGAACCAUGAUGUCAUUAAUUUGGUGUUAUGGGAAAUCAGGACUGUUACUUUGAAAAAAUUAGAGUGUUUAAAGCAGGCUCACGCUUGAAUACAUUAGCAUGGAAUAAUGAAAUAGGACGUUCGAUCCUAUUUUGUUGGUUUUAGGAUCAACGUAAUGGUUAAUAGGGAUAGUUGGGGGCAUUAGUAUUCAAUUGUCAGAGGUGAAAUUCUUGGAUUUAUUGAAGACUAACUACUGCGAAAGCAUUUGCCAAGGAUGUUUUCAUUAAUCAAGAACGAAAGUUAGGGGAUCGAAGACGAUCAGAUACCGUCGUAGUCUUAACCAUAAACUAUGCCGACUAGGGAUCGGAUGAUGUUAAUUUUUUAAUGACUCAUUCGGCGCCUUACG